UCAGUACGGCGAGUGAAGCGGUAAUAGCUCAAAUUUGAAAUCUGGCCUCUCGGGGUCCGAGUUGUAAUUUGUAGAGGAUGUUUUGGGUACCGCCCCGGUCUAAAUUUCUUGGAACAGAAUGUCAAAGAGGGUGAGAAUCCCGUCUUGGACCGGCGGUAGGGCCUGUGUAAAACUCCUUCGACGAGUCGAGUUGUUUGGGAAUGCAGCUCAAAAUGGGUGGUAAAUUUCAUCUAAAGCUAAAUAUUGGCCAGAGACCGAUAGCGCACAAGUAGAGUGAUCGAAAGAUGAAAAGCACUUUGAAAAGAGAGUUAAACAGUAUGUGAAAUUGUUGAAAGGGAAGCGCUUGCAACCAGACUUGAGCGCGGCGGUUCCCCCGGUCUUUUGGCCGGGCUACUCCGUCGUGUCCAGGCCAACAUCGGUUCUGAGGGUCGGUCAAAGGCCUUGGGAAUGUAUCUACCCACGGGUAGACUUAUAGACCAGGGUGUCAUGCGGCCUCUCGGGACCGAGGAACGCGCUUCGGCUCGGAUGUUGGCGUAAUGGUUGUCAGCGACCCGUCUUGAAACACGGACCAAGGAGUCUAACAUCUAUGCGAGUGUUUGGGUGUCAAACCCGGAACGCGAAAUGAAAGUGAACGGAGGUAGGAAGCUUCGGCUGCACUAUCGACCGAUCCUGAAGUUUACGGAUGGAUUUG
rnacentral:rRNA from 1 species